rnacentral:misc_RNA from 1 species
UUUCCGUAGGUGAACCUGCGGAUGGAUCAUUAUUGUAUAACCGAGGUGCGAGGGCUGUCGCUGACCCGAAAGGUCGUGCACGCCCGAGUGCCCUCACACACAUCCACCUCACCCCUAUGUGCACCACCGCGUGGGUCCCCCUUUGGCUUGUUCGGAGGGGGGCUUACGUUUUCACACAAACUUUGUAUGCAGUGUAGAAUGUAUUUUUUGUUUUUGCGAUCACGCAAUCAAUACAACUUUCAACAACGGAUCUCUUGGCUCUC